GAGGCCCGCCUGGCCCGAUCGUGCGAGCGCCCCAGCCUAACCCUCUCCCAAUCCUUGCAGCCGCCACCUCCCACCACCGCAUCCCCAUCUCCGUCUCGCCGCGGCCGCCGCGUCCCCAUCUCCGGCUCGUCGCAGCCGCCUCCCUAGCUCUCCACCACAGCCGGCCUCCUCUCCGGCGAGCCGUCAUCGCCCGCGCCCUCUCCUCUUCCCCCUAUAGCGCUCGAGGGGCGGCGCUGGGCCGGAGGUGGAGGAGGUCGGCCGCGAGGUUCCAGGGUGCCGCUGCCACGGUCAAACGACGGGCUGUGUCGUCGGAGAAGGAGCGACCGAGGGCUCGCAACCGGAGGAGCGGCUGGGGGCUGGAAGGAGCAUCCUAGAUCGUUGGGAUGAGCCUCCUCCUGACAUACCAUUGGAGGAGGAGCGGUUGGUGGCCAUCAAGAGGAGCAGCUCUUUGGGAUGAGUCUCUCCCUAUUGUACAGUCGCUGGAAGACGCCCUGGUUGGGCUCGACAUGCAGGUCUCUCUUUCCCUCCCUCUCCCUCUCCCUCCAUCUCUCUCUCACACAAAAUAUCCUUGUCCUUCCAGAAAUUCAGAAGGGGAAAAAGGGGGAGGUUGCAGGGAGAUGAGGGAGACCACAUGGAUUUGCCUCUAGAAGACAUGAAUUACUCGAUUCGGUGACAGUUAGCUUCUAGGGAGAUCUGUGCCUUUUGUUUUUGUUAUUAUAAUGAAUGAAUUGCUUGGAUAUUAUUCAGAUUAUUGCUAAUUAUUUUUCUAUGAAAAUCGAUGUACACUAUAUGCUCUGUAUCUGUAGACCUGAUGGUUCUCAAAUUUGACUUUUGUAUAAUUAGUCUUGAUUUGCAUCCAUGAGUUUACUUUUGAUCUUUCUGUACAAGUACAGGUUUUAAAUCAGUUGAGAAAUAUGUGGUGAAUAUAUGAACCUGGUGGUAUUUAGCAUUUUAGCUCAAAUCUUAGUGCUUGAGCAUUUCUACUGUAAAAUGUAUUCAUAUCCGUUGGAAUAAUUGUGUUUUCGUUCCUGUUUGAGGUUAAGAUUUAAAGAACCUGACUACAUGUUAUGACUAGGUCAUCAAGUGUUGCAAGGCUCGGCUAUUCUGGGACUGAAGUAAUUUCAAGGUUAUGGUAUUUUUUGGUUAAUGCUCAUCACUGAUUGAUUCUGCAUACUUUUGUUUUUAGAUUGUUGGCAUAACAUAUCAGUUGGGGUAUAGUCGUCCAUAACAUGGUUUUCUAUAUUGGUUCCAUUGCACGCGUAGGCAGAACCAAUUUCUGUCCAAUAUAGAAUUGGCGGCGUAGAACAUGGUCACUUUUGAGUUUGGACUAUGGUUGGUCUGCUUAUAUCCCAUAUUCUGGUUCCGGUUAUAUAGGCGGAUAAGAUUGAUGUUCAUUUUCAUUAUUACUUCUGCCUUUUGUUUGGUGUGGUGAAGUAAUCAUCAUUUCAAUAAUAAAAAAAACUGCAAACUUUGUUGUCAACGAGACUUGAGAUACGCUUUUCAUGAUUGUUGCUUUGCAGAUGUUGAGGUGUUACCUCGAAUGUUUGAGUUUGGAUAGCCGGAGAUUCUGAUGCCGGUAGUGGCAACGACCAGCAUUGGUGUUGAUUGCAUGAUUUGUUUUUUACUGUGGUGAUCUAUAGGGGAAUAACUUCAUUCUGUCUAUUCCAGAUCUCACUACCUGAUAAAACUGGUAUUCCAAUUUUCGUAUUGUAUUGCUUAUCUAAAAGAAGAUAGCAAUGCAACCCCUAACAUGGUAAAACGGAGACAGACCCUACAGCCAAGAAGUAGCUCACUACCAUGUAGUGAAUUUGUUGGUAUCCUUUUUCUCUUAUACAUAUAUAUUCUAAAGAAGAUAGCAAAAGUUGCUGCUGUAACUGGAUUUUAUUUCUGUUUUACCUUUGGAUCUAUCGGUAUAUAUGGUGCAGCACUUGGUAGCUAUAUGGCUAUAUUAGAGCUUCUGCUAUUUCUUGACUGCGGCCUUUGGUAUCUAUAUGGCUAUAUUAGAGUUUAAGUUCUUUUUUUCGUAAAGUAAGCUUUGCUACUGUUUUUUUACUAGAAAUCUCCUUGCUAAAAUUUCUCUCAUGCUUCUCUCAUGCUUAAAAGAAUUUUUAUUGCAUAUUGCCAUAUUUUCUGAAUUUGGCUUCUAACUGAAGCGGAAAUUAUAUAACAUUCAAGGAGAAGGAUCAGAGAUGUUUCUCACUACCUGAGUAAUUAAGUAGUACCAUUUUAAAACAAAAAUACAAGUAUUCGUAUGUGUAUUAAUGGACAGUUGUCCUGGCAAUGGGGGUGAUUCGCAACACAAGAAGCCUAGAACAUCGGCUAGAAAAUCUGGCAUGUUCCCUCUUAUUUUGUAAUCUGUGUGGCAUAGGCUGAAUGGCAACACUAGGCAUUUAUAUUUUUUGAUAUAAUUUGUACAUGCAUUUUUCUUGGUUUGAGUGAUGGAGGUGUACAGAAGAACAAGCUAAGAUUAAGAAUGAUGAUAUGCUACUUGAGUGGUGAUGAAAGACCAAGAAGUUUCCAUGACGUCCUGAGCAAAUGAAAGGGAAUGUGUACAGUUGAAUUCUGUCAUGACUAACCACUGUCCCCCGCAAAAAAAAUGACUUACCACUUUCAGAUGGGGCUCAUCUUAUGUCUCCUGGUGCCCGCCGGUUUUUCUUGUAUAAUAGUACCUACCGGCAGGGCUUCUCUUCUUCUGCUUUUGAUUGGGUUUUCCUUGCAGCUACUGCCUCACCAGCGCUCCGGUUAUUUGCCAAACAGAGCAGCUGCCUACAACACAAGUCGCUGCAGAGCGGACGAGGCUCAUGGGCUAUUCUGUGUGCUCAGAAGGCGUGAGCAAAGGCGGAAGGACAUGCCGGUGGCGAUGAAUAUGUGGUGCAAGUCAUGAGCAUUGUAGUGCGCUCAUCUGCAUCCAUUGGUACUCCGACCAGAAUUGAGCAGAGGUGGUGGCAAAAAGGAUGCAACCAGGGGCGUGGCGUGGCGCCAUGCCUAACUUCAUAGUUUCCGUUUCAGUGGUCCAUACACGCUUCUUCUGAAUUUUGUGAGAUUUCGAGUAUGUGUGUGUACCUAUGGGUAAAGGGUGAUAAAAAACAUCUGCUUCAGUUUUGUUUCAAUCAUGAUAAUAUGCUAUCUUUUCAGCUUUUAAGUAUUAUAAAUCCGCGAUCAAUGUAUGAUCUCUUCUACA